GAUGAAGAACGCAGUGAAAUGCGAUAAGUAGUGUGAAUUGCAGAAUUCAGUGAAUCAUCGAAUCUUUGAACGCACAUUGCGCCCUUUGGUAUUCCAAAGGGCAUGCCUGUUCGAGCGUCAUUUGUACCCUCAAGCUUUGCUUGGUGUUGGGCGUCUUGUCUCUAGCUUUGCUGGAGACUCGCCUUAAAGUAAUUGGCAGCCGGCCUACUGGUUUCGGAGCGCAGCACAAGUCGCACUCUCUAUCAGCAAAGGUCUAGCAUCCAUUAAGCCUUUUUUUCAACUUUUGACCUCGGAUCAGGUAGGGAUACCCGCUGAACUUAAGCAUAUCAUAAGCGGAGGA
rnacentral:misc_RNA from 1 species